GGGGUGAGGUUUAAGGAGACUCCUUGGAAACAUGGCUUCAUACAGGAUGUAUGGUUAUCUUGCUGAAUCCUCCAGAAGGAUGGAACAAAUGUCUAAACAAACAGGUAAACUGCAAGCAAAGGCUUUCUUGCACACCUUUUCCUGGGUCUCUCUCUCUCCUCUUAUCUCCUUCCUAUACGUUGAUUGAUACAGUGACUUUAAGGACAAUGCAAAGCUUUGGUUGUCCUGGGCUCGCUACUCAUCAUCCCAUCAUCUGCUGGCUAGCAUAGAGGCAGGAGACCAUGGGCUCUUGGGAAAACCAUGGAAGAUGAUUCAGGAACCUGAGGCUAUUAGCAUCAGAGCAUGGGUCUCAGUAUCCCUAACAAGCUAGGCUCAACUACCCAUCCUCAAUAGGCUAAUUCAACAAACAAGUAAAAGGCAGAGGAAGGAAGAACCAAGAGGCCUUGUGACCUUCUCCCAGCAUGAGACUUCUGGGUAAACUCCAGCUUCCUGGGGACCAUGGCUGCAAUAGUCUAAGAGCCGAAGGAAGUGGCAUAUGUGUCUCUUUAGGGCAUCUUCCUUUGUGCCCGGACCAUUGACAGUUGUAAGUAGACAAAACUAUGGAAGUGGCCUUCCAUCUCAGGUUGAAAAUAUCAGAACUGUGCAUCUUGGUCCUUGUCUCACUGUGCCCAACUGUGUAAGAAUGGGCUGACUGUCCUCGGUGUUUCUGUCUGUGCAUGAGGCACAGUGCUCCCUAACCUAGAGAUUUGGCAAGGAUGGCAUGAGAAGUGGGUCACAGCACACUGACUGACAUUAUGCUGAUAGCUGGGCCAACAUGGCUCUUCGUGUGCUUUGCCAGGCAGCUGGGUUAGCUACCUCCUACAGCCUUCAUCACGACUUUCCCAAGUGCAUCGGCUGCAGGUGUUCCAAGCUCCCGGAGUCUCCUUCUCCAGCUCCCUGGGUCGUGCAGAAAGCUCUUUGGCCACCAGGCAGAACAGCCUUCUUCAUUAAUGAGGUGUUUCAUUUUACUGCCAGCCCGUUGUCCCCUCCCCUUUCCCCAGAGAUCUGGCAGAGCUUCCAAUAAAUUGUGUUUCAAGGAAAGAAAUAGAAAAAGACAGUGAGUGGCUUCCAGGUUGGAGACUGUAAGGUCUCCUUGUGCAAGGGAAACAAUUCAGCCAUUGUCUUUCUUAAUGGUUUUGCUCCGGGAGGCAGCUGUGGGCUUCUCUCCCCAGAUUAUUUUCUUCCCCUUCCCUGUGGUCAGUAGCGGUUUUAUUCUUACAUGGACUUCUCUUUAUUCCCACAAAGGAAAUUAAAGUUUGGUUUGGGACUUAGAAUGAGGAUGUGGCAGGGGUUCACCUAAAAAGUGAGGCUGAAGAAGCAAGGCCCGUUGCCAAGUAGGCUAAGGGUCUCCCCCUGGUGAGCAAGCCGGGACUCUGUGGGCUCUGCUCUGGCGUCUCAGAGAAAGCCUUGACCCCGAAGCCUGAACUGAUGAGCAUGACUUGCUGUGGUUUAUCGUGAUGAGCACAAGAAGCUCAGCUGUUGCUCUCUGGUUUGUAUUUCACUGUCCUUUGGCAAGGGGAUGGAGAUGUGGCUGCUGGUGACUUUGAACAUGGCUUGUGGGAGGAUAGACAGUAUGGAAGCCAGUAAUGUCAAACACACAGGAUUGCCCCUUCUACAGGGAGAGAUGUAGACCUGCUUCCUGUUCAGAAGGUUGGGAGUGGAGGUGAUUAAUCAUAGCUUAGUUUGGUGGUACACGCCUAUCAACCCAGCACUCGGGGAGGCAGAGGCAGGCGGGAUCUCUGUGAGGCCAGCCUGGUCUACAAAGGGAGUCCAGGAUAGCCAAGGCUACACAGAGAAACCCUGUCUUAAAAAAAAAAAUACCCCAGUGACUUUUGUGCUAACCGUAUGAAGGAGAUCAUACCAGAUCCUCUCCCAGACCCUUAAGGUGUCACAUGUAGUCCAUCAAUAGAACCCACCUUUAUGGAAGUUAUUGCAUGUACUUUACAAAGAGUUUCAAUGUAGCCAUUUCUUAAACUGUAUUAUACCCACAAAAUUGUGUUAACUAUCAGGAUUUUUUCCACCAAAUUGUGCUGUACUUAAAUAUGCUUAAAGUAAACUACUCGAUUUCAGGUUCUUGCUUGAACCAGCACUGGCUACUGGGUCCUGUUGAACCAAAUAUCUUCUUAUCUCACGUGGAUCAUUACUCUCCCAGCCUUGAUGGUUGCAGAGACACCCCACCCAUAGCCCCAGAGGGACCCAUAUUUUAUAGUCCUUUCCAGCUAGCUUGAUGCUGGCCAAGUUCCUUAGCUUUUCCUCUGUAGACAAAUAUUUGUUCUGAACACCCAUCUCGAUUUCAGGGAAGAACUGGCCCUCUCAAGAGGGCCGUGAACCAUGGCACAGGCACCGUGUUUUCCUGCUGCCAAUUACAGCUCUUCUUGUCUAAACUUCAGACCUCUGAUCAAACAUCAUCUGUUUCGUGCUGAAUUUCCCAUCCCAGCUCUUGGGUUUUCGUGAAAGGAAGCCAAGCACAUGGAAAGCUCCAGGCAGCCCAGCAGGAGAAGAGGCAACAAGAGCCUGGGUCCUACAGUGGAGAAGCUGACCACCCCCUGUACUGUGUGAGGAUUCCCCGUGCCUGACAGUUAGUCACUGCAGAAACCUUCCAUCUGUACCAUCCUGAAGGAAUUCGAUCUUCAUCCCAAGACAAAGAAAUUACAGUUUUGGUUGGUUAAGGACUCAUUGAGCAAAUGCAUGACAGAACCCACAGCCCAGGAUCAAUCAAGCCUAUCCUGCAAUUUGAGGAAACUGUUCCAAACAGAAAAUGUCGUUCCUGGGUCCUAUCUGCCGAGAUCAACCCAAUCCAGGCCUGACUUAUCUGACAACAGGGAUUGAGGGGUAACAGCCUGAAAUUAUUUGUCAAGGAAGAAUGAAGGGGAUUAUGAGGUGUCAAACAAAUAGGAAACAAUAGGGUUGCAAUUAUAAGGAAAGUAUAGGCAAAAUUCUAGGAAGCCACACUCUUACGGAGCUGUUUACUGUGGAAGUGCUGGGAAAGGAUCCCUCUGUCCUGCAGACCAUAUGUUGUAGAGAAACUGUAUCAAAUCACAGGACUCUUUACAAAACCAUAUUUCAUUCAUGAAACCAGUCAGCUUGAUCAGUUGAGCCUUUGCCACAAGCCAGUCCUAUACCGGGUCUUGCAAGUCCAAGGCAGACAAUGGUGAGCUCCUGCCUUCAGGCUGUGCACUGCUGAACUGUUGAGAGGUGAGAGAGGAUGGACACGCCUCGGGGCACUGGGUGCACACUGACACACAACUGCCCCAGGUGGAAGAUCUGAGGGAUGCCAGAGGAUAAGUCAACUGUCCGGAGGAAGUGAUGCCAGCAGACCUCAAAGCAGGAGUAAGGUACCCUUCACACAGAGCUGUCGCAGGGCACCUUCUAGGCUGGACAGGGGGCACAGGCAGGGCACAGCGUGGGAAAGAGAGGGCAGCUUGGCACUGUUAAGAGGGGACACUGGUAAGAAGGCAUGGUAUGGCUCUUGGGGGUCACACCUAUGUCUCCAGCCUCACACUAGGAACAAAGCACAGGCCUCCUGACCAAGACUGGUAAAUGAAAGCUGACAGCUAAAUGGAUGGAAAACCAGGCACAUCCCUGCUGGGAAAUGUCUUUCUAGCGUGUCUCAUUCAGCACUUCUAUCAGCGUCAUCAUAAGGAAGCCUACCAGCUGGCUGCAGUGGGCAGAAUGCAUAGUGGCAUUGGAGCCUGACUGUUAGGCCCCAGCCUGGCUCUGCUGCCCGCUGCUUUCACUUACUUUCUUUUUAAAAAUUUUUUAUUAAUUACAGUUUAUUCACUUUGUAUCCCCCCUGUACCUCCUUCCCUUCUCCCCUCCCAAUCCCACCCUCCCUUUUCCCCACCCGUGUCCCUCUCCCAGUCCACUGAUAAGGGAGGUCCUCCUCCACUUCCCUGUGAUCCUGGUCUAUCAGGUCUCAUCAGGAGUGGCUACAUUGUCUUCUUCUGUGGCCUGGCAAGGCUGCUUUCCCCUCAGGGAGAGGUGAUCAAAGAGCAGGCCAGUCAGUUCAUGUCAGAGACAGUCCCUAUCCCCAUUACUAAGGUCUGUGCAGGGGUUUCAGGCCAUCUCCAUGAGUGGUCCUUGGCUAGAGUAUCAGUUUCAGAAAAGACACCUGUGCCCAGACUUUUUGGAUCUGUUGCUCUCCUUGUGGAGCUCCUUUCAUAAGAUUUGCUGCACUCUACCCAAAGUUUGGCUAUGAGUAAGGCAAGGCUGCCCAUUCUCUCCAUAUCUCUUCAACAUAGUUCUUGAAGUCCUUGGUAGAGCAAUAAGACAAUUAAAGGAGAUCAAGGGGAUACAUAUUGGAAAGGAUGAAGUCAAAGUAUCACUAUUUGCAGAUGAUAUGAUAGUUUACCUGAGUGACCCCCAAAAUUCUACCAGGGAACUCCUACAGCUGAUAAAUACCUUCAGCAAAGUGGCUGGAUACAAAAUUAACUCAAAAAAUUAGUAGCCCUCCUGUAUACAAAAGACAAAGGGGCUGAGAAAGAAUUAGGGAAAAUAAAAAAAAAGAAAAGAAAUUAGGGAAACAACACCCUUCACAAUAGCCACAAAGGACAUAAAGAACCGUGGUGUGACCCUAACCAAGCAAGUCAAAGACUUGUAUGAAAAAAAUUUCAAGUCUCUGAAGAAAGAAUUAGAAGAUAUCAGAAGAUGGAAAGAUCUCUCAUGCUCAUGGCUUGGCAGGAUUAACAUAGUAAAAAUGGCCAUCUUACCAAAAGCAAUCUACAGAUUCAAUGCACUUCCUAUCAAAUUACCAACACAAUUCUUUACAGAUGUGGAAAGAAAAAUUCUCAACUUCAUAUGGAAUAACAAGAAACCCAGAAUGGCUAAAACAAUCCUCUGCCAUAAAAAAUCUUCUGGAGGUAUCUCCAUCCCUGAUCUCAAGCUGUACUACAGAGCAACAGUAAUAAAAACUGCAUGGUACUGGCAUAGAAACAGACUGGUGGAUCAAUGGAAUCAAAUAGUAGACCCAGAAAUAAACCCACAUACUUAUGGACACCUGAUUUUUGACAAAGAUGCCAAAACCAUACAAUGGAAAAAAGAUAGCAUCUUCAACAAAUGUUGCUGUUCUAAGUGGAUGUCUACAUGUAGAAAAUGCAAAUAGAUCCAUACUUAUCACCCUGUACAAAACUAAAGUCCAAGUGGAUCAAAGACCUCAAUAUAAAACCAGACAUACCAAACCUGUUAGAAGAAGUGGUGAAGAGCCUUGAACUGAUUGGCAUAGGAGACAACUUCCUAAACAGAACACCAACAGCACAGGCUCUAAGAGCAACAAUCAAUAAAUGGAACCUCAUGAAACAGAAAAGCUUCUAUAAAGCAAAGAACACUGUUGUCAAAACAAAACGACUGCCUACAGAUUGGGAAAGAAUCUUCACCAACCCUAUAUCUAACAGAGGCUUAAUAUCCAGUAUAUAUAAAGAACUCAAGAAGUUAAAUAGCAACAAAUCAAGUAAAACCAAUUAAAAAAAUGGAGUACAGAGCUAAACAGAGAAUUCUCAAUAGAGGAAUAUUGAAUGGCAGAGAAACACUAAAGAAAUGCUCAACAUCCUUAGUCAUCAGGGAAAUGCAAAUCAAAAUGACCCUGAGAUUUCACCUUACACCCAUCAGAAUGGCUAAGAUGAAUAACUCAAGUGACAACACAUGAUGGAGAGGAUGUGGAGAAAGGGGAAUCCUCCUCCACUGGUGGGAAUGUAAACUUACACAGCCACUUUGGAAAUCAAUCUGGUGCUUUCUCAAUUAGGAAUAGCACUUCCUCAAGAUCCAGCUAUACCACUCCUAGGUAAAUAGCUAAAAGAGGCUCAAGUACACAAUAAGGACAUUUGCUCAACCAUGUUUGUAGCAGCUUUAUUUGUAAUAGCCAGAAGCUGGAAACAGCCCAGAUGCCCCUCAGUUGGAAAUGGAUACAGAAAUUAUGGUACAAUGGAAUAUUACUCAACGAUAAAAAGCAAGGAAAUCAUGAAAUUUGCAGGUAAAUGGUGGGAACUGGAAAACAUCCUGAGUGAGGUAUCCCAGAAGCAGAAAGACACACAGGAUAUAUACUCACUCAUAAGUGGAUAGUAGACCAAGAGGGGAUGGCCUGGCCUGGGCCAAGAGACUUGUCUAACCAAACUGCCCUUAUAUAACUAGGGACCAGAGGAGUUAAGGGUGGGAAGGCCAGAGCCUGGGCUAGAGAAGUUUAGGGCAGGGGGCAGUGGAAUAUUCGGGCCAUAUUCUGUAAACACAGAGGGACUGAGGGAUGCAGAGAGAGCCUGGAAUAUGAGUGCUGUGUCUAGGCCAACAGACUAGUAGGUUAGCAUAAAAGACUUCCAACCAGAGUUCCUUGGAUUUACCCCCUAAUCCAGUGAUGGGUUAUUUUUAUAUUUUUAUCACCAUUAUUAUCACAUUGGCUUUUUUCCCCCAUUUAUUCUACGGGUAUAAAUGUUUUGCUUGCAUACUUUGAGUAUAUGUUUGGUGCCUACGGAGGACAGAUAUGGAUGUCAGAUCUCCUGGAACUGGAGUUACAGGCAGCUGUGAGCUGCCAUGUGAGUGCUGGGAAUAGAACUCAGGUCCUUUGCGAGAGAAGCCAAGGACUAAACCGCUGCUUGUCUGACUGGAAGGGAAGAGGAGAAGUGUCACUGAAGCCGGGAGGGAAGCCCAGGAGCUUGGGACUUGCUGAGUUGAUACUCUGUUACAUACUGAAGUGGAGUUCUUGAGUAGCCAGGAAACAAUUGCCCCUUCCCUGCCCUUUUAAAUUGAGAAGGUAGAAGCCACCUGUAGGAAAGGGACAGCAGGUACCUGCAGGAUGGAUGAGUGGUUUCUAGUAACAGGAGGGGAGCAUGACUCACAGGCAUGAGACAGGAUGGUAUGGAGGGAGCUGGUGCCUGCCAGUUCUCUUCAGAUGCAUCCGUUUUCCUCAAGGAGGAGAAACAAGACCAUCUGCUGGGCGUGAGUGAGAGAGACGAGGUGCUGAAGAUUGGAGGGGAGGGAAAGGCGUUGCUGAAUCUCAUUUUCCUUCCUGUUCCUUGCACGGGGUUUGGCACAGAAGAAAUCCGAACAAGUGUCAGCUGAGCCAGAUUCUCUGGUGUUACACCCCAACACUGACAGUGACUUGGAAAUCUCAGCUGCACCCCUCUUUAUAUGAGUGACCCCCAGAAAUCAACGGCACUCUCUUUGCUUUGGCUGCCUUAUCUGGAAGAUGAGGACUGGGCGAGAUGGCCCUCCUUAGGAGAUGCUGGAGCAAUGCCGUUUCCCAGGUGCCACGGUGCCUUAUCCCACCAGGCUGUCCAAUGCCCUUGAAGUCAGAGAAAAAAAUUGGACUGGACAAAUUUUCCAUUUUUGUACUUGAAUAAAUUGACUUAAACUAAUCAUUAAA